UACGGAGGAGGCAAGCGUUAUCCGGAAUUAUUGGGCGUAAAGCGUCCGCAGGUGGCACUUCAAGUCUGUCGUCAAAGACUGGGGCUUAACCCUGGAAAGGCGGUGGAAACUGAAGCGCUAGAGUGUGGUAGGGGUAGAGGGAAUUCCGGGUGUAGCGGUGAAAUGCGUAGAUAUCUGGAGGAACACCGGUGGCGAAGGCGGCAUCCUGGACCGGUAUUGACGCUGAUGCGCGAAAGCCAGGGGAGCAAACGGG
rnacentral:rRNA from 1 species